rnacentral:rRNA from 1 species
GUCUAUGGCCAUGCUUCCCUGAACAAGCCAUCUGAUCUCAGAAGCUAAACAGGGUCGGGCCUGGUUAGUAUUUUGAUGGGAGACCACUUAGGAAGACCAGGUGCUGUAGGCA